AGUUCUUCAACUGUUGAUGUUUCCAUUUCAAAUAAAGUUUCAGUGUACGGAAUCUCCACAUCAGCGUAACUUUGAGUUAUAACUAGUGUCACAAUCGUUAUGAAUAAUUCCAUCGUCGUUAGUGACCUUGUCAAUACACGAUUAUUAUUAUUAUGUUUGGUGAAAUAGCUAUACUGGACAGUAAAAAUUAUAUGACGAUUGAACGUGUGAUAAUAUGAGUAAUGUUAGGAGUAAAUCUGAUAUAUAAGUAAAAAUAAAUAUUCGAAACAAUUAAAAGAAGCUCCAGUUGUCAGUUAUUCUUGAAAGAUUGAUGAGUAAACUUGGGGUUGCUUACAUGUCGAUCUUGUUUCGUCGAAUGUACUUGAGUAAAACGGUGGUACUUUAAUAUAAGUAGAUUAACUUGUUAAUGUACACUGUGAUUUAAACUAACCAAAUGUCAACGAACAAACUAUUUGUAUUUCACCCUUUGAAGAGACACUUGGAUAAUUCCACUGGCUUAGAUGUGUACUCAUCGAGGGACUUUGCACGACUAGAUGAUCAUCAGACGUGUUACCUAUUCUAUUCGUCAUUCGUACAUUCACUAGCUGAGUGGAUGCCAACAUAAACAUACGGGCCAAAGCAAUUUACUAGGUUCCACCAUUUAAUCAGAUUGUUGGCCUAUUUGAUUCAUCCGUCAACGACGAUUUAUCGUGCCAUUGACUUUUCUCUUGUGUUGAUGCCAUACUGCCAGAGCUUUUGAUUUAUUUCUGCACUAAAGAUGUUCAUUGCAUGUCUGCAUCAUUUUCUUGAUGAAAAUAGAUUGCAAGACUUGUCAAGCACGUGGUAAAUUACAAACUAUGAAUGAACAGACUGUUAUCCUUCAGAUUUUUAAUAUUACUCAACAAUUCGUUUGAUAGUUUACUAUUUUCAAUAUUUCAUUUGUUAGUCUAAAGUUCAGUUAAAAGGUAAAAAAAAGAAAGCUUUUUUGAGAAUUAAAUAAAUCGUAAGAAAUUAUUUUAUCCGUUAAAUGGGACUAAACGUAUUCUAUGGACUGUUAAGCAAUUUUACUUGAAGUUUGCUAUUAAAUAUAAUCAGUCGGUAAUUUGUAUUUAUUAUUAUUUAAUUCAAUCAAUGAAUUCAUUUUUAGACUUCCGUCAUUAGAAUUAUAGUUCAGUGAUUCGAGGAAAUUCAUGAACUGAUAGAUCGCGUAAUUGUAUGAUUGUAAAUUUGACAUUAGACAUAGACAGAGAAUACUCUGAAAAGGAUUUACGGUUCGAAAGCUAUCAAUAGUUGAUCUAACCAAAGUGUUGGAGUGUUUCAAAGCAUAUCAACCAGUGUAGUAUGAAGGAAAAGCCGGAUAGACUUAUCACUAGUCGAUUUGUAUUAUCGAUUCCAUUUACUCAUCACCAAAUCGAUAUGAAUAAAAAGUUUUUUUGCAGUAAAAA